UGUAGAGCCACAUCACCCUGAAGCUCUCACCUGGCUUCCCACUGAAGCUAAGCAGGGUUGAGUUUGGUCAGUACCUGGAUGGGAAACCUCCUGGGGAAAACUAAGGUUGCUGCUG
rnacentral:rRNA from 1 species